AGCCCUGUGAGGGUCAGUAUUGCAGCCAAUGAGGUUUAUCCAAGGCACAAUUAUUGCUAAUUGAAAAUGGUGAUAAUUUUUUCUUCUAUUUUGCAAAAUUUAUACCUCAUUUUUUGUUCUUACUGUGAGCUCAUUACUUUGUAA